AAAGAUUAAGCCAUGCAUGUCUAAGUAUAAGCACUUUAUACUGUGAAACUGCGAAUGGCUCAUUAAAUCAGUUAUCGUUUAUUUGAUAGUACCUUACUACAUGGAUACCCGUGGUAAUUCUAGAGCUAAUACAUGCUAAAAACCCCGACUUCAGGAAGGGGUGUAUUUAUUAGAUAAAAAACCAAUGCCCUUCGGGGCUCCUUGGUGAUUCAUAAUAACUUCACGAAUCGCAUGGCCUUGCGCCGGCGAUGGUUCAUUCAAAUUUCUGCCCUAUCAACUUUCGAUGGUAGGAUAGUGGCCUACCAUGGUGG
rnacentral:rRNA from 1 species